rnacentral:rRNA from 1 species
AUGUCGGGUGAUGCCGGCUGGCCGACUCUGCCGGGCCGCCUCGACGAUGAAGAUGGUGCCAGAUUGCCGCCCGAGUGUCUGCUGGACCGGCGCGUUCGCACGGACUUCGACGAUGACGAUCAGCAAGACCUCAUCGCCUUGCAACCCUUCAAAAUCCUGAGAUGUGUGUACAAGAAGGCGUUGGGGUUUCCAUCCGAGCUGCAGACCCAGGCGGAUGAGAUGGUUCAGACCCUACAAAUCGGUGUGCACCUCGCCAAGUCGCCGCCGGGUUUGUCCUGUCUGGGCCUUCGAGGCGGCAGCCCGAUGACCAACAUCGAAACCGUCCAGGACAGCAUCGUCGUCCUCACCACCACUUUCCUCCAUGAUUUUGACUACACCUUCUAUCUGGUCUAUGAAGCCUCCAGUGGUUCGCUCCACAUGAUCCCCAUGCCAGAAAAUCCUUGUUUCAUUCUCACAGGGCUCAGUGCUAGCAUGCUCAUCGCGAGGUCAUUCUACACUGCCGACUACGCGCUGGUUGUAUUGGGCAAGCUGGACGGGCAAGAGGGGGAUGUUCCGUUGGUGUGGCUGUCUUCAUCCUCGUCACCAUCUUGGUCUGAGAUCAAGACCACCGUCUUCAGCCAACCCCCCUCAUUGAUGCUGCACUAUGCUGAUAUGGGCUUUACUAUCGGAUCCAUGGCCUGCUGGGUGGACCUCCUGCGCGGUGUCGCAUUCUCUUGGUGCAACACCCUCUUCCCCAAAGACUGUCGCAAGGAACCCACGCUUAACUUUGGCUUCUUUUCCUUGCCCAGAGAGUUGCCUGGAGCAGAUCACUGUCGCGGCAACACCCGGGUGGCACAGCCAGAAGCCUACCGCACCAUAGGCGUCGUCCAAGGUUUCAUCAGGUUCGUCUCCAUCGACGGCUUUCUCGACUAUGUCGACCUCAAGGACCGCACCUUGACAGUCUGGAAGCGAACGUUGAACCGUGUGUGGCAGUUGGAGUACAAGCUCAGUCUCGAGACCCUAUGGGGGCUCCAGGGAUUCGGCGACUUGCCAAAGAACCUAACUCCCAUGUACCCUCUCCUUAGCACAGAGAAUACGGAUAUUGUCUACUUUGCACUUGGGGAAUAUCUGGAGAACCGGCGCAGGUGGAAGUUUAUCCCAAUAUGUGCACACUAUCUACUCGCGGUCAACAUGCAGAGCAACACAGUCCAGGCUUCCAUAUCUCUCGCAGACUGUUUUGGCAGUCCUGACAUCCCAGACCUUGUUUCUUCUAGUUUCAGCCGGUAUGUCCAUGUCGUGGGGCAUGAUCUACACAUUAUGAUGAUGGACACGAUGAAGCAAAUGGCGUCGAUCCAUUUGGACCCCAUUGACUAUGAUGAAAGGGAGGCUCGGAAGGUGAUGAGGGAGAGCCCAUUCAACUGGCAAGGAACUUUGAAGGACAAACCUAUCUUUUAUCCAGCUCGCUACUACUCGCAACCAUCAUUGCUUCGUCUCACCCAAUCAGAUAUUUACUUCCUUUUCACAGCCACUGCAGACAUCAUUCCGGAGAUAUCAGGGUGA